ACCAUAUAAUGUGUGUCAACAAAUAUCUUGCAAUCGCUUCAAUUAUCCUUACAAAGAAACUCGGCCAUCAUUAAUACAAUUAAUCAACAUUAUACACUGCUCACUAAUUUGUGAGACGUAUCCCACAUUACUCUUAUCACAGCUGUUUAAUGAUUUUGCUCACCAGUUAGAAAAUUUUCUAAACUGACCUGUCGAUUAAUUACUUCGUAAUUAUUGAGUAAAUAGAUCGUUAUAUUGUCGAAUGAACGUAUCGCUCUUGCCCAUAUGUAAUUUUACUUUUAAAGGGCACUGUUUAUUGAUCAGCGCGCCGGUGCAGCAGGUGCAGAUUCAUCGAACUUUAGCAGCUCCAUUUAUUUGCACUCUUUGCAUUUGGAAUGAGACACAAAUAUACAUUCGAUCUUUAGUAGAAGAAAGAAGCAGAAAGGAAAGUGGAUAAAAUGCGAAGAGACACAUCGGCGAAGCGGUAAGGCGGAAAUUGGCGGAACUUCUGAACCUUAAACACUUCUCAACGAAAAGUAACGAGAAUCUUGGACGAACUGAAGUUUUCACCAGUUCUUAGACAAAAGACAAACAAUGGUGACGGAAAAAAUCGGAAAGAUCUUCAAAGAUGUCUACUACGAUCAGUUCAAGUGGUCAAUGGUGAAGAACAUUGCUUUCUUUAUCGUUGGUGUUAAAAUCGCCAUUGAAUGCAAUGGGAUGAUGCUAAUGCCACCAGUCUCCGUUUAAACUUAUCAUGAAUCAUAGGAUCCAGAAAACUGUCUGAAUGUUCUAUCGAUUUCUUGCGUUUCGUACACCGAUUACAAUCAUUGUAGGAAUACAUUCAAUUUUAUCUGUAUUAUACAAAACUGUAUAUUUUGUAUUUGAAACACAUUUGUUAAAGAAUUGUUAAUAAAUAAUGUACAGUA